UACGUAGGGAGCAAGCGUUGUCCGGAAUCAUUGGGCGUAAAGCGCGCGUAGGUGGCCUCAUAAGUCCGCUGUGAAAGUCAAAGGCUCAACCUUUGAAAGCCGGUGGAUACUGUGAGGCUAGAGUACGGAAGAGGCGAGUGGAAUUCCUGGUGUAGCGGUGGAAUGCGCAGAUAUCAGGAGGAACACCAAUAGCGAAGGCAGCUCGCUGGAACGUUACUGACACUGAGGCGCGAAAGCGUGGGGAGCAAACAGG
rnacentral:rRNA from 1 species